UAAUCAGCUGUUGUCUGCUGCUUGUGUCCCUCAUUAUGGCCGAUAUAUAUAUAUAUAUAUAUAUAUGUAAAACUAACCUAACAGGGUCUCAUCUGUGUGCCUGUAUAUAUAAAUAUACAUAUAUAUAUAUAUAUAUAUAUAUAUAUAUAUAUAAGCUGAUCCUUGUUUAUUUAAGGGUGUCGGACAUACAAGACAUAAGUUCUUUAUAAUAGAUCUGCAAUAGAGAUCAUACUACAAUAGAUCAGUAAACUUAAUCUAAUCAGUCUCUCAUGUUGAAAGUUCCAGUGAGAUUAUUCUUGGAAUUGUUGUACUUCCCUUCGUUGAAAUUGGCAAAUUUACCGCUGUAAUUCUUGGUAUCACGGUGUGUGAUUUCAUUGAAAGCUCCAGUGAUGGAAGUGUCAACGAAGUUGUGGUUUCCAACAGUGUUGGCCUGGGAAGCAAUUCUGCCAUUGUUGUUGAAAACCGGCCCUGGAGCAGGCCGAAAGUGAGAGCCAUAGUCGUAUUCGCAGUCAUAAUCGUAGUCAGUCUCGUAUUCUUCUUCAUCUUCUUCGUGCAUUUGUCUCCAAGCCUGCUCCUUUCGUCUAUUCAUUGGACCGAGUCUUUGAUCUGUCGCUAAUUAACUCCGGUGGGUUUAUUGGUGUAUGGUUAGUUUUGAAGGUGGCUUCACUAGCUAGCUCCUUAUAUAGAGUGAUCAAAUGUUGAAAACAGUCCAAUGCCCAUUAGGCUUUUUUUGGGAUAAGAAGGAAUCUUAUUUCCUUUCAAACAAUAGCAAGCACUAUAAUAAAAGAUCAUGGAAUAU
rnacentral:lncRNA from 1 species